rnacentral:lncRNA from 1 species
UACGCCCCUUUCUCUUUAGCCUUCUGAAGUCUGGACUCUGGAACCUCAGGCUUCUAUAGGGAAGUGGAAGGGAGCUGACAUUAACUGUUCACUUACGGUAUGCCUGGCAUCUUGCCAAGCACCAUACGCUACUCAUAACACGGUGAAAUAAACAUUAUUAUCUCCAUUUUUUUUUUUCAAUACUAGGAAACUCAGGCUCUGAGAGAUAAAAGCAUCAUUUCCCAAAGUCAUGUGACUGGUAAGGGGAGCCUGAGUUCACGGACGCCACAGCCCCUGCUCUUACACAAGUGUCACCUGGAGAGGGCCACCAGGCAUGAGUAAAGCAGACACAAAUAGUGGACUCCCGAACGGGGCUGAGCACGUGAGCCGCUAAAACUGCGUGUGGGGGAGCUAGCUCCCCAUCUCAUCCCGUCACAUCGUGGAGGAAGGGGCGUCUGCAACAGGGGCCC